rnacentral:rRNA from 3 species
UGUUUCGGCUAGGGGGCCAUCCCGGCUUACCAACCCGAUGCAAACUGCGAAUACCGGAGAAUGUUAUCACGGGAGACACACGGCGGGUGCUAACGUCCGUCGUGAAGAGGGAAACAACCCAGACCGCCAGCUAAGGUCCCAAAGUCAUGGUUAAGUGGGAAACGAUGUGGGAAGGCCCAGACAGCCAGGAUGUUGGCUUAGAAGCAGCCAUCAUUUAAAGAAAGCGUAAUAGCUCACUGGUCGAGUCGGCCUGCGCGGAAGAUGUAACGGGGCUAAACCAUGCACCGAAGCUGCGGCAGCGACGCUGAUGCGUUGUUGGGUAGGGGAGCGUUCUGUAAGCCUGUGAAGGUGGCCUGUGAGGGUUGCUGGAGGUAUCAGAAGUGCGAAUGCUGACAUAAGUAACGAUAAAGCGGGUGAAAAGCCCGCUCGCCGGAAGACCAAGGGUUCCUGUCCAACGUUAAUCGGGGCAGGGUGAGUCGACCCCUAAGGCGAGGCCGAAAGGCGUAGUCGAUGGGAAACGGGUUAAUAUUCCCGUACUUGGUGUUACUGCGAAGGGGGGACGGAGAAGGCUAUGUUGGCCGGGCGACGGUU